CUACUCUCUAACAUAUAAAGAAGAGUUUGAGAGAAAAAAUGUGGUUGAAAUUAUUUCUUUAAUCCUUCCCCCAAAUCUCCCUCUCAAAAUCUUCAAAAGAAAAGGGAACCUAGGUCUCCCUCUCUCAAAAUCAGAACAUUCAAAUUUGUCCCUUCUUUCUUAAUUUCUCCGUCUCGUUCAAAUUUUGUUCACGCCAUUUGUGUCUCAAGCAGCUUCAGAAAUAGAAGUCAACAACAAAGAAUUUUUCAAAUUCUUCGGAUUGGACAACUUAUAUGCCACAUCAAUUGGACGAAAAGCUAAGAUAUUUUAACUUUCAUACCUCUAUUGUGCGUAUUGCUGCAUCUUAUUGUUGAGUGUUUUAGAGAUUAUUAACAAGAGUACAUGUUGGCCUUGUAGUUUAGGAAUUCAAAAUUCACCUUCAGGUUUCAAGUUCACAUGAUAUGUAGACUUGUUGAUAGUUUGAGGCUUAUGGACCACUUUUUAGAAUGAUGAAUA